rnacentral:rRNA from 1 species
AUGUUUUGGGAAGAUUGGUGGAUUGGACCUAAAUCCCUGAAAUGUAGUUUCCCUAGAUUAUACAACAUAUGCUUUGAUAAAAACAAGUUUGUUAGAAAUAUCCUUGACAAGAGAAUAAAUAAUGUGAGAUUCAGGAGGACUCUGAUAGGAGAUUCUCUUGAAUUAUGGAAUCACAUUAAAGAGGUUUGUGCCUCUCUUGUUCUGAACAAAAGAAAUGAUGAGGUUGUAUGGACCCUGAUAAAGAAUGGCAUUUAUUCCGUCCAGUCUUUUUAUAGACAUUUGAUUGAAAAAGGGGUUAAGUACCCACAUCUCUUUAUGUGGAAAGUUAAAAUGUUGCCUAGUGUGAAGGUUUUCAUGCGGGUAACUCCCAGAAAUAGUAUUCUCACUAAAGAUAACUUGCUCCGUAGAGGUUGGAAAGGUGACAAGAACUGCCCCUUUUGUGGAGGGGAUGAAAUUGUUAAUCAUCUCUUCUUCACUUGCUCGGUUGCACGCUUACUCUGGAAUGUAUUAAUGUGCUUUUAA